GGUGAGAUGGCCGAGCGGUCUAAGGCGCCAGACUAAGGACCAACAUGCGUGGCAUGUACUUCUUGAAAUCUGGUCAUUCGUGGCGUGGGUUCGAAUCCCACUCUCAUCA